rnacentral:rRNA from 1 species
GAUGAACGCUGGCGGCGUGCCUAAUACAUGCAAGUCGAGCGAACGGACGAGAAGCUUGCUUCUCUGAUGUUAGCGGCGGACGGGUGAGUAACACGUGGAUAACCUACCUAUAAGACUGGGAUAACUUCGGGAAACCGGAGCUAAUACCGGAUAAUAUUUUGAACCGCAUGGUUCAAAAGUGAAAGACGGUCUUGCUGUCACUUAUAGAUGGAUCCGCGCUGCAUUAGCUAGUUGGUAAGGUAACGGCUUACCAAGGCAACGAUGCAUAGCCGACCUGAGAGGGUGAUCGGCCACACUGGAACUGAGACACGGUCCAGACUCCUACGGGAGGCAGCAGUAGGGAAUCUUCCGCAAUGGGCGAAAGCCUGACGGAGCAACGCCGCGUGAGUGAUGAAGGUCUUCGGAUCGUAAAACUCUGUUAUUAGGGAAGAACAUAUGUGUAAGUAACUGUGCACAUCUUGACGGUACCUAAUCAGAAAGCCACGGCUGACUACGUGCCAGCAGCCGCGGUAAUACGUAGGUGGCAAGCGUUAUCCGGAAUUAUUGGGCGUAAAGCGCGCGUAGGCGGUUUUUUAAGUCUGAUGUGAAAGCCCACGGCUCAACCGUGGAGGGUCAUUGGAAACUGGAAAACUUGAGUGCAGAAGAGGAAAGUGGAAUUCCAUGUGUAGCGGUGAAAUGCGCAGAGAUAUGGAGGAACACCAGUGGCGAAGGCGACUUUCUGGUCUGUAACUGACGCUGAUGUGCGAAAGCGUGGGGAUCAAACAGGAUUAGAUACCCUGGUAGUCCACGCCGUAAACGAUGAGUGCUAAGUGUUAGGGGGUUUCCGCCCCUUAGUGCUGCAGCUAACGCAUUAAGCACUCCGCCUGGGGAGUACGACCGCAAGGUUGAAACUCAAAGGAAUUGACGGGGGCCCGCACAAGCGGUGGAGCAUGUGGUUUAAUUCGAAGCAACGCGAAGAACCUUACCAAAUCUUGACAUCCUUUGACAACUCUAGAGAUAGAGCCUUCCCCUUCGGGGGACAAAGUGACAGGUGGUGCAUGGUUGUCGUCAGCUCGUGUCGUGAGAUGUUGGGUUAAGUCCCGCAACGAGCGCAACCCUUAAGCUUAGUUGCCAUCAUUAAGUUGGGCACUCUAAGUUGACUGCCGGUGACAAACCGGAGGAAGGUGGGGAUGACGUCAAAUCAUCAUGCCCCUUAUGAUUUGGGCUACACACGUGCUACAAUGGACAAUACAAAGGGCAGCGAAACCGCGAGGUCAAGCAAAUCCCAUAAAGUUGUUCUCAGUUCGGAUUGUAGUCUGCAACUCGACUACAUGAAGCUGGAAUCGCUAGUAAUCGUAGAUCAGCAUGCUACGGUGAAUACGUUCCCGGGUCU